CGACCGGUCGACGUCGCCGCCGCCACCUUCCCGGACCCACCGUGCGUCUACCCGAUUUGUAUGCUAUAGUAUGCUAUAUAGAUUUGUAUGCUAUAGAUAAUUCAUAGUCAUUGUGUGUCUUCUUUUUUUAGAAUUAAUGGCCGAUGAUUAGUAUUUUGUGGCAGUUGGGUGGUGUCAGCGAGCCUGGUCAUAUGUACAAAUAAAAAUCUUGUGGAUCGUACUUGGCUCGCUGACCCUAUGACUGUGAUUUUUGGGUCCAAUAUAAAUAUGAGGUCUUAUUUGAAGUUCAUUUUAUAUCCCUAAUUGUUAACAUAACCCAAUCAUUAUGCAGAAAAUGGAUUUUAUGAGUCCAUGUAUAAACUAUGGACAAUAUAGGUGCAGGGAAAAAAAAGUUUGUCAUACUGUUCAAAGAGGACAAUAAAACUAUGCCGGCUAUCCCAUCUAGCGCAAGACGUGAUAUCAUGGAGUAUGUACAUAGAAACAUUAACCAACCAGCAUGUACAUAGUGGAGAGGACCUUCGUUUUGUUGAAGUCACCAAUGAGGCAAACUGAACCUAUUUUCACGGGUUCGUUGGAUAAAGAUGAUAGACCGGCUACGGGAUGGAGGCAGGGACUAAGUGUUAUUUGAUGGUGAGUACCAUGACCGAAGAGAUUCUGACGGGGUCGUUGUUCAUUACCCACUCGUGGAUCCGGAGGCGCCCCCGGGUGUGUAGUGUAGAUCUUGUCUAUUACAUGUAGGUCUUGACCAUUACCAAUUUUAGUAUGCCCAAUGUAGUGGUUUGGUCAACUGGCUAUGGUGCUAAAUCUAAUGACUUCGUCACUUGCUUGGCUUUAUAAGAUUUGGUCAUUUGGCUAA